rnacentral:rRNA from 1 species
CCUACGGGUGGCAGCAGUGGGGAAUAUUGGACAAUGGGGGGAACCCUGAUCCAGCGACGCCGCGUGAGUGAAGAAGUAUUUCGGUUUGUAAAGCUCUAUCAGCAGGGAAGAAAGAAGUGACGGUACCUGACUAAGAAGCCGCCGCUAACUACGUCCCAGCAGCCGCGGUAAUACGUAGGGGGCAAGCGUUAGCCGGAUUUACUGGGUGUAAAGGGAGCAUAGACGGCGUUGCAAGUCUGAAGUGAAAGGCGGGGGCCCAACCCCGGGACUGCUUUGGAAACGGGAUGGCUGGAGUGCAGGAGAGGUAAGUGGAAUUCCUGGUGUAGCGGUGGAAUGCGUAGAUAUUAGGAGGAACACCAGUGGCGAAGGCGACUUACUGGACUGUAACUGACGUUGAGGCUCGAAAGCGUGGGGAGCAAACAGGAUUAGAUACCCGGGUAGUC